rnacentral:rRNA from 1 species
AGCGAACGUUGGCGGCGCGCCUAACACAUGCAAGUCGAACGCGAAAAGCCUUCGGGCUGAGUAGAGUGGCGCACGGGUGAGUAACACGUGAGUAAUCUACCCUGAGGAUCGGGGAUAACGACUCCGAAAGGAGUGCUAAUACCGAAUAAGACCACAGCCCCUGCGGGGCGAGUGGAGAAAACGAUGGGGAUCCGAAAGGACCUAUCACCACGGGAUGAGCUCGCGGCC